UACGAAGGGGGCUAGCGUUGCUCGGAAUUACUGGGCGUAAAGCGCACGUAGGCGGCUUUCUAAGUCGGGGGUGAAAUCCUGGAGCUCAACUCCAGAACUGCCUUCGAUACUGGAGAGCUCGAGUCCGGGAGAGGUGAGUGGAACUGCGAGUGUAGAGGUGAAAUUCGUAGAUAUUAGGAAGAACACCAGUGGCGAAGGCGGCUUACUGGUCCGGAACUGACGCUGAGGUGCGAAAGCGUGGGGAGCAAACAGG
rnacentral:rRNA from 1 species